UACAUGGGGUGCAAACGUUGCUCGGAAUUAUUGGGCGUAAAGCGCGCGUAGGCGGUUACUUAAGUCGGAUGUGAAAGCCCUCGGCUUAACUGAGGAAGUGCACCCGAAACUGAGUAGCUAGAGUACGAAAGAGGGUCGCGGAAUUCCCGGUGUAGAGGUGAAAUUCGUAGAUAUCGGGAGGAACACCGGUGGCGAAGGCGGCGACCUGGGUCGAGACUGACGCUGAGGCGCGAAAGCGUGGGUAGCAAACAGG
rnacentral:rRNA from 1 species